rnacentral:rRNA from 1 species
UACGGAGGGUGCAAGCGUUGUUCGGAUUUAUUGGGCGUAAAGAGCUCGUAGGUGGUUCGGUAAGUCGGAUGUGAAAUCUCCAGGCUCAACCUGGAGGGGUCAUUCGAUACUGCCGUGACUAGAGGUCGGUAGGGGAGUGUGGAAUUCCUGGUGUAGCGGUGAAAUGCGCAGAUAUCAGGAGGAACACCGGUGGCGAAGGCGGGUCUCUGGGCCGAUACUGACGCUGAGGAGCGAAAGCGUGGGGAGCGAACAGG